AGGAGGAAGCUGGGGCCGCCGUCGGGCCUUCUCCCUCCAGGGGCCCAAGAGCCACUGGUACUCAGUGUCUGGGUGGGGGCAGGGGGGAUUUUUGUUCUCCCAGCACCUGCGGCUGUUGAGACCAGAGAAGCUGGUGGUCGACCACAGCCUGGGGUAUUAGUUCACCCCUAGCUUCUCCCCAGCGAGACCCCAGGGCCCUUGGGCACAGGGGAUUAAGCCUCUAUCUGCUUACGUGCAAGCGGAAGAAAUAGGCCCAGAGAGCAACAGUGGCGGGUCUGCAGUCACACAGCCAACUUGCGCUUGUGGCAGUGGCAAGGUUGCUGGUUCAGUGGGGCUGUCGACCACAGGUACCAACCCUGCCCUCCCCUACAGAGUAUGUGACGUAGGCACAGCCAAUGACUGCAUCCCAGUGCUUCGACCAGUCACAGGGUCAAGGAAGUUCUGAGGGUACCCCUCACUCAAGCUCCAGGCGUCAGGAAAAGAACAUUCCACGAAGUCCAUCUGGAAGACGGUCCUUUCCCUGCUGCCCCCAGCUUCUAGAACAUUCCCUGGAACACAGCAAGUGUUCAGUAUUGUUCAUGGAGUGACAGAUGUCUCAGCCAAGAAGGUACAAUCACAGGGAAGAAUGACUUCAACUGGUCUUGACUUCAACCUGCUUCCAGCCUGGUUCCCUUCUCCCACCUCCCUACAGCCCACAGAAGAUCUUUUCCAAACUGGAAGUCUGUCCAGGUCAUUCUUCUGCUCUAAGGCUUUCAGUAGCUCCCCCUUAUCC
rnacentral:lncRNA from 10 species